GACGAACGCUGGCGGCGUGCCUAAUACAUGCAAGUAGAACGCUGAAGAGAGGAGCUUGCUCUUCUUGGAUGAGUUGCGAACGGGUGAGUAACGCGUAGGUAACCUGCCUUGUAGCGGGGGAUAACUAUUGGAAACGAUAGCUAAUACCGCAUAACAAUGGAUGACACAUGUCAUUUAUUUGAAAGGGGCAAUUGCUCCACUACAAGAUGGACCUGCGUUGUAUUAGCUAGUAGGUGAGGUAAUGGCUCACCUAGGCGACGAUACAUAGCCGACCUGAGAGGGUGAUCGGCCACACUGGGACUGAGACACGGCCCAGACUCCUACGGGAGGCAGCAGUAGGGAAUCUUCGGCAAUGGGGGCAACCCUGACCGAGCAACGCCGCGUGAGUGAAGAAGGGUUUCGGAUCGUAAAGCUCUGUUGUAAGCCAAGAACGGGUGUGAGAGUGGAAAGUUCACACUGUGACGGUAGCUUACCAGAAAGGGACGGCUAACUACGUG
rnacentral:rRNA from 1 species